AGUGAACGCUGGCGGUAGGCCUAACACAUGCAAGUCGAACGGCAGCACAGUAAGAGCUUGCUCUUACGGUUGGGGAGUGGCGGACGGGUGGGGAAUAAAUCGGAAUCUACUUUUUCGUGGGGGAUAACGAAGGGAACCAUACGCUAAUACCGCAUACGACCUACGGGUGAAAGCAGGGGAUCUUCGGAGCUUGCGCGUGUGAAUGAGCCGAAGUCGGAUUAGCUAGUUGGAGGGGUAAAGGCCCACCGAGGCGAGGAUCCGUAGCCGGUGUGUGAGGAUGUUCCUCCACACUGGAACUGAGACGCGGUCCAGGCUCCUACGGGAGGCCGCAGUGCGGAAUAUUGGACGAUGGGCGCAAUCCUGCUCCAGCCAUACCGCGUGGGUGCAGCAGGCCUUCGUGUUGUAAAGCCCUUUUGUUGUUAUAGAACACCAGCACGUUUAUCCCCCGCUGUUCUGACGGUACCCAAUGAAUAAGCACCGGCUAACUUCGUG
rnacentral:rRNA from 1 species